GCAGCGCGGGGCAACCUGGCGGCGAGUGGCGAACGGGUGAGUAAUAUAUCGGAACGUACCCAAGAGUGGGGGAUAACGCAGCGAAAGUUGCGCUAAUACCGCAUACGAUCUAUGGGUGAAAGCAGGGGACCGCAAGGCCUUGUGCUCCUGGAGCGGCCGAUAUCUGAUUAGCUAGUUGGUGAGGUAAAGGCUCACCAAGGCGACGAUCAGUAGCUGGUCUGAGAGGACGACCAGCCACACUGGAACUGAGACACGGUCCAGACUCCUACGGGAGGCAGCAGUGGGGAAUUUUGGAUUGGGGUAGCAAGCCUGAUCCAGCAAUGCCGCGUGAGUGAAGAAGGCCUUCGGGUUGUAAAGCUCUUUUGUCAGGGAAGAAACGGCUGUGGCUAAUAUCCACGGCUAAUGACGGUACCUGAAGAAUAAGCACCGGCUAACUACGUGCCAGCAGCCGCGGUAAUACGUAGGGUGCAAGCGUUAAUCGGAAUUACUGGGCGUAAAGCGUGCGCAGGCGGUUUUGUAAGUCUGACGUGAAAUCCCCGGGCUUAACCUGGGAAUUGCGUUGGAGACUGCAAGGCUAGAAUCCGGCAGAGGGGGGUAGAAUUCCACGUGUAGCAGUGAAAUGCGUAGAGAUGUGGAGGAACACUCGAUGGCGAAGGCAGCCUCUCUGGGUCAAGAUUGACGCUCAUGCACGAAAGUGUGGGGAGCAAACAGGAUUAGAUAUCCUGGUAGUCCACGCCUCUAAACGAUGUCUACUAGUUGUCGGGUCUUAAUUGA
rnacentral:rRNA from 1 species